rnacentral:tRNA from 1 species
ACUUAAAUAGUUUAAAUUAAAAUAUUAAUUUGUGGAAUUAAGGAUAUGAAAAUUCAUUUUAAGUA